UGAUUGGCGAGAUUGGGUCAAAGCACACUGUGUUUAUACCCGACAUGAUGCCCUCUCUGUUGGAUCUUCUGAAUGAUGAGAUGCCCGCGGUCGCGAGACAGGCUGUUAAAACGGGAACAAACUUAUUUGCCAAAGUACUGCAAGAGCUCGUUGUCCAGGGUUCAUCUGGUCCUCCGAUGACAGGCUGCUGUCUGAAUCUAGACACCUGGCCCUUCGUCCGUCCGUCUGUUCGUCCGCGUCAUUACUACCCUGAACCCUUUAGAGUUUUAGUUGCUUGUUAUUGGUAACUGUUGUUGCGCUCAAGAUGUCCUGUUUUGGUGUUGCCCAUGAAGACUUUGUUUUAAGUGUGGAUCUAUAUGAGAUGUUAUGUUUCAUCUGCUGAUUCCUGUCAAUAAUAGAUCUUGUUUGAAUUUUGUUCAGCGUUAUUACCUCCUGAGAUAUGUUGUCCAUUGUGUUCUAAUAUUAUUGUUGAAUGGUUUAUAUAUAGUCUUGGGUGGUAAACUAUACCGCAUCUCAGUGUAAUGAUUAUUUAGCUCUGUUGUUCAGGUUAUUCUACUAUAGCCUCGUUUAGAAGUGCAGUUAAGAAUUUCCAUGAUUGUUAUUGUUGGACUGUUCGACAGUAUAAUCGUAGCUACUUCAUGCUAUCCCUUUUGUAACAGUAAGAACUGGCAUUGUUUUACAUGAUAUUUUGUGCUAUAGGAUGCUAUAAUACAUUGCCUAUUGGGGAGUACCCUUGCGAUGUCUUUAUUUUAGUUCCAUGUGUGUCCUUGUAUAAAUGUACCUUUGUUGGCUUACAUUGUUAAUCCAUCAGUUGUGUCCUCAGUGUCAUUGUAAUGUGUUGUCUUUGAUUGGUCUCCUGGGUGUUAAUUUAUAUUUGGGAAUAUACCUCUGUGGGAUGGACGGGACGUCGAUCCGUUGGUAUUCCAAAUGUGUAGGAGAUGUUUGUGCUUUGCGCGAGAUAAUCAUGGUUGGUAGAUUCGGGCAUGAAAUUAGAUGCUUGUUUUGGCCUGUGCCUUCUCCCUGUUUCGAGUUCAUGACGAAUCGAGUUAGUGUUUUAGUUUGUAGUUGUUACAGGUGUAUUCAUCCCAUGGCUUGCUGAAAUAUUGUGCUCGGGAAAUGUUAUUUUUUGGUUUUAGAUUUACCCUUGAGAGCUGGGCUCGAGGUGCUUUAGCUCUGAAUUUAGAGUAGUUUCCUCUGCAAACACACAUCGCUUGCUGUUCUAAUCCUCAAUUUCUAUUCUCAUAUUGCUUCUCGUCUAUUCUAACUAAAAUUUCUGCUCAUCUAUGUUUAAAGUUCAACAGGCUGUCCUGAGAAGAUCAAAUGGCUCCCAAAAGGCGACCAUUUAAGACACAUUGUCAUUCUAUUAUCCCAGUCCUGACUGUGGCUGCCCAUGAGUCAAACAUUUGAUCGCUAUCUCGAAGGAGCACCAUGCUGAAGAAGAAAACACUUGUAGAGCUUGUAACUGUUAUUACACUUGUAGAGCUCGUAAAAUAUUGUAUAUGUUACAUCUUGUAUUUUGUGUUAUUUGUAGAGGUUGUAUUGAAUCAGGCUAUUGUUAUUUGAAGUAUUAUGUGUGUUUUCUGCUUGCCAAUUCAAAUAUUGAUAUUGUUUUA